rnacentral:rRNA from 1 species
GGUUGACCUUCCUGGCCCGCAGUCUUACGGCUGUGAGUGCUGUGAAGAGUCUUCCAUCCUUCUAGAGAGCCGUGCCUGCUGUUCACUCAGCUGGGCGCGUGCGAUCUAGAUCUUUUACUUUGAAAAAAUUAGAGUGUUUAAAGCAGGCUUAUGCUGUGAAUACAUUAGCAUGGAAUAAUAAAAUAGGACUUUGGUUCUAUUUUGUUGGUUUCUAGGACUGAAGUA